rnacentral:lncRNA from 1 species
GGGCCACAGGACGCUGCUGCAGGGCUUUAAGGAGAGAGGGAUCUGAUCUGUGAUUUGAGGCAUCCCUCUUGCUACGGUUUGAAGAGUCGGUUGAAGGCACAAGCCCAGAGCCAGAGGCGAGUGAGGAAGAGGUUGACAUGAUCCCAACAAGGGAGACAGAAGGUCCAUGGGGUGAGAUCGCUGACUGACAGAAGGAAGCUGUUCUCUGGGGUGUGCGUGACCCAAAGACCAAUGGAGGGAGGAAGAAUAGAUGCUCCAAAUGGCCACUGCACUUCUCCAAUGUCUGAAGCCACCUGCAAAUGAUUGCUAGUCACUGCCUGCACUGAGACGGAUUCUGAGGCCAAGUCGAGGCUUAGCAGGAAAGAAUACUGUGACCUACACGCCUUCUCAGCCAAACGCACAGAACAGGAAUGGCCACAUAUGUGCUCGUGUCAGCCAGUGUUCCUGGGGGCUUGUCCACGGGCAGAUUCCUUCAUAAUCCCUUGGGAUGCUUGCAAUAAUUCCAUCUCCGAGCCCUCACCCUCACCCUCUCAAGGUUUACUGAAUUAAAAUCUUUGGGCGUGGACCCUGGAAAUCUGCAGUUGUCUCGACUUUUUGUGGAAUUUUGAUGUAGAGUCAGCUUUGGAAACCACCUAGGAGCCUGUAGGCUCCUGCACGGGCACUGCAGCAAGGUAGCAGCAAAGGUGGGCUGUCUUUACCACCAAGACCGGGUAAAUUAGGGAUAAUAAUAACACCUGCCUCAUAAGGAUGGUGGAAAAAUUAAAGGAGAUUUUACAUAAUAAGCACUCAACAAAUAUUAGCUUUUAUUAUGUUAUCUUCUUCUAAGAGUCUGUAAGAGG